UUUCCGUAGGUGAACCUGCGGAAGGAUCAUUCAUAAUAAAGUGUUUUCUGGCACUUUUUAAAAAUCCAUAUCCACCUUGUGUGCAAUGUUAGAUCUCGUCAAUCUUGGCGAGAUUUUUAUACAUCAACUCAUUCUUUAACUAAUUUGUCUGAAAAAUAUUAUGAAUACUUAAUUCAAAAUACAACUUUCAACAACGGAUCUCUUGGCUCUC
rnacentral:misc_RNA from 1 species